rnacentral:rRNA from 1 species
CAAUAGCGUAUAUUAAAGUUGUUGCAGUUAAAAAGCUCGUAGUUGGACUUCUGAUGUGGAGGGACGGUCCGCCUCACGGUGAGCACUGAUUCUUCACGUCUUCCUCUCGUAGUCUUUUGGCGCACUUAGUUGGGUGCCUUUAGAAUAUGGGACCUUUACUUUGAAAAAUUAGAGUGUUUAAAGCAGGCUUAAGCCGUUGAAUACAUUAGCAUGGAAUAAUAAGAUAAGACUUGGGUCAUUAUUUUGUUGGUUUGCGGAUCGAGGUAAUGAUUAAUAGGGAUAGUUGGGGGUAUUCAUAUUUAAUUGUCAGAGGUGAAAUUCUUGGAUUUAUGAAAGAUGAACUUAGGCGAAAGCAUUUACCAAGGAUGUUUUCAUUAAUCAAGAACGAAAGUUAGGGGAUCGAAGAUGAUCAGAUACCGU